CGUAGGGUGCGAGCGUUAAUCGGAAUUACUGGGCGUAAAGCGUGCGCAGGCGGUUUAGUAAGACAGGCGUGAAAUCCCCGGGCUCAACCUGGGGACUGCGCUUGUGACUGCUAAGCUAGAGUACGGCAGAGGGGGGUGGAAUUCCACGUGUAGCAGUGAAAUGCGUAGAGAUGUGGAGGAACACCAAUGGCGAAGGCAGCCCCCUGGGUCGAUACUGACGCUCAUGCACGAAAGCGUGGGUAGCAAACAGGAUUAGAUACCCUGGUAGUCCACGCCCUAAACGAUGUCAACUAGGUGUUGGGAGGGUAAAACCUUUUAGUACCGGAGCUAACGCGUGAAGUUGACCGCCUGGGGAGUACGGCCGCAAGGUUA
rnacentral:rRNA from 1 species